GAUGAACGCUGGCGGCGUGCCUAACACAUGCAAGUCGAGCGAUUCUCUUCGGAGAAGAGCGGCGGACGGGUGAGUAACGCGUGGGUAACCUGCCCUGUACACACGGAUAACAUACCGAAAGGUAUGCUAAUACGAGAUAAUAUACUUUUAUCGCAUGGUAGAAGUAUCAAAGCUCCGGCGGUACAGGAUGGACCCGCGUCUGAUUAGCUGGUUGGUAAGGUAACGGCUUACCAAGGCGACGAUCAGUAGCCGACCUGAGAGGGUGAUCGGCCACAUUGGAACUGAGACACGGUCCAAACUCCUACGGGAGGCAGCAGUGGGGAAUAUUGCACAAUGGGCGAAAGCCUGAUGCAGCAACGCCGCGUGAGCGAUGAAGGCCUUCGGGUCGUAAAGCUCUGUCCUCAAGGAAGAUAAUGACGGUACUUGAGGAGGAAGCCCCGGCUAACUACGUGCCAGCAGCCGCCGUAACAC
rnacentral:rRNA from 1 species